UCGUCAUGGAUUCCCCCAGCCGAUUUCGAUGUGAAAAUUAAUGCUGAUGGUGGGGUGUCAAGAUGUGGCAGAAGAGGGGCCGCGGCGGUCGUUUGCCGAGACAAGGCGGGAACUUUCUUGGGAGCAUCAGCGAGAGUUUUUGACGGCCUUACGGACCCAUCCUCGUUAGAGGCGCAAGCCUGCAAUGAGGCUCUUUCACUGGCCGAGGACCUCAACUUGAGUGCUGUUUGUGUGGCAUCGGACUGCGCUGAGGUAAUCUCCAAGAUCGGGACGAAAGCUCCUUGCCAAUAUACAGCGAUACUCCCGGAGAUUAACCAUCGCACUGCUGUUUUUCAUAAUAUUCGCUUUGUUCAUGAAAAUAGGAAGUUUAAUUUUGAAGCACACUCGCUUGCGAAAGCUGCUGUUUCUUUGUCUAGCGGGCGCCAUGUGUGGCUUGUUUCUACGCCCGAUAUCAUCUGUAUCCCUAUGAACAUCCAACUAUAA
rnacentral:rRNA from 1 species